rnacentral:rRNA from 1 species
UACGGGGGGGGCAAGCGUUGUUCGGAAUUACUGGGCGUAAAGGGCGCGUAGGCGGCCUGUUAAGUCGAACGUGAAAUCCCCGGGCUCAACCCGGGAACUGCGUCCGAUACUGGCAGGCUUGAAUCCGGGAGAGGGAUGCGGAAUUCCAGGUGUAGCGGUGAAAUGCGUAGAUAUCUGGAGGAACACCGGUGGCGAAGGCGGCAUCCUGGACCGACACUGACGCUGAGGAGCGAAAGCCAGGGGAGCAAACGGG